GAUGAACGCUGGCGGCGUGCCUAAUACAUGCAAGUCGAGCGAACAGACGAGGAUCUUGCUCCCCUCACGUUAGCCGCGGACGUGUGAGUAACAUGUGUAUAACCUACCUAUAAUUCUGGUAUCUUCUCGGGAAACCGGAUCUAAUACCGGAUAAUAUAUUGCACCACAUGGUGCAAUAGAGAAAUACGGUUGUUCUGUAACUUAUAGCUGGUUCCGCGCCGGAUUAGCUAGUUGGUAAGGUAACGGCUUAUCAAGGCAACGAUGCGUAGCCGACCUGCGUGGGUGAUCGGCCACACUAGAACUGAGACACGGUCCAGGCUCCUACGGGAGGCAGCAGUAGGGAAUCUUACGCAAUGGGCGAGAGCAUGACGGAGCAACGCCGCGUGAGUGAUGACGGUCUUCGGAUCGUAAAACUCUGUUAUUAGGGAAGAACAAAUGUGUAAGUAGAUAUGCCCGUAUUGACGGUACCUAGUCAGAAAGCCACGGCUAACUACGUG
rnacentral:rRNA from 1 species